rnacentral:rRNA from 1 species
UAUGGGGGGGGCAAGCGUUGUUCGGAAUUACUGGGCGUAAAGGGCUCGUAGGCGGCCAACUAAGUCGGACGUGAAAUCCCCAGGCUCAACCUGGGAACUGCGUCCGAUACUGGAUGGCUUGAAUUCGGGAGAGGGAUGCAGAAUUCCAGGUGUAGCGGUGAAAUGCGUAGAUAUCUGGAGGAAUACCGGUGGCGAAGGCGGCAUCCUGGACCGACAUUGACGCUGAUGAGCGAAAGCUAGGGGAGCAAACGGG